GAUGAACGCUGGCGGCGUGCCUAAUACAUGCAAGUCGAGCGAACAGACGAGGAGCUUGCUCCUCUGACGUUAGCGGCGGACGGGUGAGUAACACGUGGAUAACCUACCUAUAAGACUGGGAUAACUUCGGGAAACCGGAGCUAAUACCGGAGAAUAUAUUGAACCGCAUGGUUCAAUAGUGAAAGACGGUUUUGCUGUCACUUAUAGAUGGAUCCGCGCCGCAUUAGCUAGUUGGUAAGGUAACGGCUUACCAAGGCGACGAUGCGUAGCCGACCUGAGAGGGUGAUCGCCCACACUGGAACUGGGACACGGUCCAGACUCCUACGGGAGGCAGCAGUAGGGAAUCUUCCGCAAAGGGCGAAAGCCUGACGGAGCAACGCCGCGUGAGUGAUGAAGGUCUUCGGAUCGUAAAGCUCUGUUAUUAGGGAAGAACAAAUUUGUAAGUAACUAUGCACGUCUUGACGGUACCUAAUCAGAAAGCCACGGCUAACUACGUG
rnacentral:rRNA from 1 species